GGACCUUUAGCUCAGUUGGUUAGAGCAGACGGCUCAUAACCGUCCGGCCGUAGGUUCGAGUCCUACAAGGUCCACCA
rnacentral:tRNA from 1 species